rnacentral:rRNA from 1 species
UGCCAGCCGCCGCGGUAAUACGGAGGGUGCAAGCGUUGUUCGGAAUUACUGGGCGUAAAGGGCGCGUAGGCGGCCCAGUAAGUAGGGGGUGAAAUCUCACGGCUCAACCGUGAAACGGCCUCCUAAACUGCUGAGCUUGAGCACGGUAGAGGCAGAUGGAAUUCCCGGUGUAGCGGUGGAAUGCGUAGAUAUCGGGAAGAACACCAGUGGCGAAGGCGGUCUGCUGGGCCGUUGCUGACGCUGAGGCGCGACAGCGUGGGGAGCAAACAGGAUUAGAUA